rnacentral:rRNA from 1 species
GACGAACGCUGGCGGCGUGCCUAAUACAUGCAAGUCGAGCGCGCGGCGAACGGGUGAGUAACGCGUAGGUAACUACCUCUUCGCUGGGGAUAACUAUUGGAAACGAUAGCUAAUACCGCAUACUAUUAGAUGGACCUGCGUUGUAUUCGCUAGUAGGUAGGGUAAUGGCCUACCUAGGCAACGAUACAUAGCCGACCUGAGAGGGUGAUCGGCCAAACUGGGACUGGGACAAGGCCCAGACGCAUAAGGGAGGGAGCAGUAGGGAAACUUCGGCAAUGGGGGGAAACCUGAACGAGCAACGCCGCGGGAGUGAAGAAAGGUUUCGGAGCGUAAAGCUCUGUUGUUAAGGAAGCGGUACUUAACCAGAAAGGGACGGCUAACUACGUGCCAGCAGCCGCGGUAAUAC